rnacentral:rRNA from 1 species
AUUGAACGCUAGCGGGAUGCUUUACACAUGCAAGUCGAACGGGUGGCGGACGGGUGGGUACGAUAGUGGAACGUGCCCAGUAGCGGGGGCUAACGGCUAGAAAGAGUGGCUAAUACCGCAAACUACUGGAUCGGCCGAUACGGGAUUAGCGAGCUGGUGGGGUAAAGGCUCACAAAGGCAACGAUCCGUAGCUGGUUUGAGAGGACGACCAGCCACACUGGGACUGAGACACGGCCCAGACUCCUACGGGAGGCAGCAGUGGGGAAUUUUGGACAAUGGGGGAAACCCUGAUCCAGCCAUCCCGCGUGUAUGAGAAGGCCUUCGGGUUGUAAAGUACUUUUGGCAGAGAAGCGGUAUCUGCAGAAUAAGCACCGGCUAACUACGUGCCAGCCGCCGCGGUAAUUC